UACGUAGGGUGCGAGCGUUAAUCGGAAUUACUGGGCGUAAAGCGUGCGUAGGCGGUUGCGCAAGACAGGUGUGAAAUCCCCGGGCUUAACCUGGGAAUUGCAUUUGUGACUGUGCGGCUGGAGUGCGGCAGAGGGGGAUGGAAUUCCGCGUGUAGCAGUGAAAUGCGUAGAUAUGCGGAGGAACACCGAUGGCGAAGGCAGUCCCCUGGGCCUGCACUGACGCUCAUGCACGAAAGCGUGGGGAGCAAACAGG
rnacentral:rRNA from 1 species